GAACAUUGGCUGAGCACGGUGGCUCACACCUGUAAUCCCAGCACUUUGGGAGGCAGAGGUGGGUGGAUCAUUUGAGGUCAGGAGUUUGAGACCAGCCUGGCCAACAUGGUUUCAUGGCAUGAUAUGACUCAAUCCACAGACAGAGGCUGCUGAGCCCGGGACAGCUUAUUGGACCAGCCCAUAUGAGAAGCACAAAUGUACAGAAACAAACUGAACCCAAGGAAAGAUUGGUGAUACUUUGGGAGGGAUGACAGAGGAAGGGGAAACACAUUGUCCAUCCCUGUCCCAGCAAGGAGCCAGCUCCCAUUCAGCAGUCUCUGUGAACAUCUAGGUAGCUUCCCCGUUCUUUCUGUCCAGUUGUGAGCAGCCACCAACUAUGAUUCCCCUCUUCCAGCAGGCUUUGCUUCCACAUCACAAAGCAUCAUCCUGAGAAACAAUUCCAGUUCUUUUUAGAGUUCUGUUUCCUUCAUAGGUACCUAUUGUCCUAAUAAAUGGAAUUCCUU